AAACUUUCAGCGACGGAUGUCUUGGCUCCCACAAC
rnacentral:rRNA from 1 species